GCCUGCAUGGUGUAGUGGUUAACGCUGCUGUCUGAGAAUUUUUCGACGCGGGUUCGAUUCCCAUGAGCGUCA